GUCGCGGUGGCUCAGUCGGUAAGAGAGUUGGUUGGGGUGCAGAAGGCCGCGGGUUCGAUUCCCGCUAGCUGCA